ensembl:lncRNA
AGAAACCGGCUGGCCGAUGCCACGGCGCGAGAAGCGGCCAUGAACAAACAAAUCUUGCCCUUAAAUAGCCCAGACCAACCCACGCCCCCACCAGUGGGACAAACCAGUUGGGUUUACGCCCAUGAGGACAUAGAGCUCCUAAAAAAAUGGGGGCCAUCUACCACCCUCAACUAAAACAGUGGGUCUACAAAGGAAAGACAGUUAUGCCAAUAAAAAUGACUUUUAAAUUGAUCUCCUUUUUACAUAAAUUAACCCAUUUGGGGUUUAAAAAGAUGACUAGAUCAAAAAGAGAUAAAUCUGUGUUUUUUAAAUCGGGACAAAGCGAUACAAAAGGUGACUGAGAGUUACAAAGCGUGCGCUCAGGUUAACCUGAGAAGGACCAUGAUUGGACAAGGAGUUCGUCCUAGGGGACACCGUCCCGACAUCCAUUAAAAAAUUGAUUUUACUAAAAUUAAACCAGAUAUAUAUAGAUACAAGUAUCUCCUAGUGUUUGUAGACACCUUCUCAGGAUGGGUCAAAGCCUUCCCCACAAAACACGAGACUACAAAAAUGGUCACCAAGAAGCUCCUCGAGGAAAUCUUUCCCAGCCCUUCUCUGAGGGCCCAUUUACAGGCCCUACAGAUUGUGCAGAGAGACGUCUAGAGACCUUUGGCCGCUGCUUACCAGGACAAGCUUGAACAUCCGGUGGUGCCACACCCGUUCCAGAUUAGAGACACCGUGUGGGUACACAGACACCAGACCAAGAAUCUCGAGCCACGGUGAAAAGGACCCUACACCGUCCUCCUGACUACCCCGACCGCCCUAAAGGUAGACGGAGUCUCGGCUUAGAUCCACGCACCACACGUCAAGACAGUCUGGUCUGAGAAAUUGACUAAUCACAACACUACACCCCAGACAUGGAGAGUUCAGCGCAUUCCAAACCCCUUAAAGUUAAAACUCCUACGUGGCUCCUCCUAGCCCUUUUGUGGCCUAGAGUCAGUGGGGAAAUAAGCCCCCACCAGACA